UACCAACCCCAGGGAAACUCCGAAUACAGGCCUAGAUCGUUUGUACAGACAGACUUUUGGGGUGCUAAGAUCCACAGUCGAGAGGGAAACAGCCCAGAUCGUACGCUAAGGUCCCUAAGCAAUCACUUAGGGGAAAAGGAAGUGAUCGAGCGAUGACAACCAGGAGGUGGGCUUGGAAGCAGCCAUCCUUUGAAGAAAGCGUAAU
rnacentral:ncRNA from 1 species